GGGAGAAGAGGAGACACAUGUUUCCACUCAAAGUUCUUUUUUGUUUAAAAUAAAACCAACCCAACAAUCUCUGCUGCUGACGGUUGGCCGGAGCCCAGGCCCCAGGCAGAGGGACCGCGGGCUUCCUGGCCGCCUGCCUGGGAAACUCAAGUAAUGACUGCCUGGGGCCCUGCUCUGAGCCACCUCUGACAGAGCCUGUCCCCUGACACUGGCUCAGGCCUGAGGGUCCCAGGAGAGACUCCCAGGGGGCUGCCCCUGCUGGAGCCUCUUGGCCAUUCGGGGCUGAGAGCAACCAGCCACCAGGAGGCCUCUGCUGAGGGCCCGGGAGGGCUGGGUCCAGGGCAGGGCCUGAGAGGGGUAGGUGAAGGUUCCGCUUUAACUGGGGGCCUGGCCAGCAGGGGUCUAGCAUCCCCUAGAUGCUCAGAGUCCCUCGGCCCCUCCUCUCUAGGGACAUAUCCCAGGUCCUUGCAGCCCCAGGCCCAGGUCAGGUCACUUGGCUGGGAGUGAGCUGUGUGCCGUGGGGAUUGUGGAGGAGGCCGUGGGAGGAAGAGGAGGAAGGAGGGUAGGUCGGAGGCCUUGCCUCCUGGCUCUGGCCAGGCUUGCUCAGGGCCCCUCCAUCUCUCUCUCUCUCUCUCUCACACACACACACACACACACACACACACACACACACGUAUACUUUGCACUCAGAUCCAAGAUUUGAUCUGGUCUAAGCCCCACGUCCCCAGGCAGGAAUGAAGCUAGUCUCACAGCAGCACCGUUUGUAGAGUACCGACCGGGCGCCAGGCACUGCCAGGCACUGAGUGCAUCAUCUCAUUUAAUCCUCAUCCGCCAGGAGGGUGGGGCCAUUAUAACGUCUACUCUACAGACCAGGAAACCGAGGCUCAGAGGCGUUAACACCCUACCCAAGCGUCAGCAUGAAGACAGAGAAAAGGACAGAAGCAGACAGAGAGAGAAGGACCACGAGACAUUGGCUGGCAGGGGCAGACACAGGGGGAAGGAGAGAGAGUCUCCUACGGGAAGCUCCUCUCCUGGGCUGCCUCGGGGGGCGCUGGGGGCCGAGGGCUGCAGUGGCCCGGCCCUGCCCUGCCCUAGGCGAUGCCUGGUCUGGAGGAAGAGGAGCCGAAGGGCAGGGUCCGCACUGGAUGGAGCGCCAGAAGAGGGGAGAUGGAGGCCCAGGGCUUCCCCACAACCAGAGCCUCCGGGAGCCAGUCUCCCUCUAGGGCUCUGGAGGCAGAAGACCUCCCUGACUGGGUCACGCGGAUGUGAGCUCGUGAACUGAGGGUGCCCUGCAUGGACUCCUUACGGCGGGACAGCCUCGUGCCAAGGCCUGCAGCCAUGUUCCCUUGUCUAGUCCUCACGGCAGUUCCACCAGAAGGCUGCUAUGACGGCCUCCCCCCGACAGAUGAGGAAACUGAGGCUCAGAGAGGCCUUGUCCACAGUCACGUAGCUUGUAAAGGUUUCAGAGCCUCACGACCUCCUCUGGCUGCUCCCCUCAGGCUGGCCCCAGGGCCUGGGCAGCUGUGGGGCCCUGGGCCCCGAGGCAAGGCCCCCUCUUCUGUUGCCAAGGUGGCAGAGGAAGGUGCCUACCUGCCCCUCCCAGGCGCGGUGCAGCGCCACGGCACCCAUGGAACGCGGCUGCAUUCCUGUGGCAGGGGUGUGGCUGCCCGCGGCCGUGUGCCCCAGGCCUGUGCCUGCUGCUGAGCCGCCCAGCGCCCGCGCUGAGUCAGCAGGCCGGCAGCCCUGUCCCUCCCAGCAAAGCCCCAUCACCAGGAGGGUGGUGGCGGCCGCGCAAAGGAGGAAACUCGACUUCCCUUGGAGGAGGGGGGCGCCUUGGGUUCUAAGCUGGGGACCCAGGCGGGGAGCAGCAGGAGGCAGGACCUUCAGAGCCAGAGGGGGGACUUCAGACUGGACAGGAGGCAACUGUGCUUUCCUCAGCGUCUUCUGUGUGCCAGGCGCCGUGCUGGCGGCCGGCGAGCUUCUCUUAUCUCACGUAAUAAAACUGACUCACUAUCCUGAUCCCCCAUUUUGCAUAUGGGGAAACUGAGGCGCGGCCAGGCCCUUAGCGAGCAAAGGGCAUGGACAGGCCUCGGAGCUAUGCUCAGUCUGCCGGGAGGGGGAUGCGGGAGGGACCCCCUGUUGCACCAGGCUUGCCCAAUGUGAGCCUGGACUAGCCACUCCCCCCUGAGCCUCAGUUUCCCAUCUCUGUGGGGGUCAGCCGAGGGUCUCUCCGAGCCCUGAGAAGGAAGGGAAAGUGAGAGGCCGCACAACUUCCUCCUCCCGCUAUUUGCUCUUGAUUAGGGACAAGUCACUUCCCCUGGCUGGUCUCACCCUCUCGGCCAGCCUUUGAUCUCCUGGCGGUGCCUGCCUUCAGAUCCCUUUAUCUUUAUGGGCAAUGCCCCUGGGUGCCACCCUCACCCGUCCGCACCCCACACUGGCAUCCGGAGGGCAGAGAGGGAGAAACGAGAGUGGGAAGUGGAGGGCCAGGGGCCAGGAGGGGCUGGGGACUUAGAGGGGUCUCAGAUGUUGGCCUCAAGGUGCCAGUUCUGGUCCCCUCUGGGUCUUCCUUGGAAUGGAAUUGGCAGGUUGUGGGCGCUGGAUCCCAGAGUAGGGCAGACAGGGUGGCUGUGGGGUCAGGAAGCCAGGAGUUUCGAUGGCUGGUGUGAGUGGUUUUUUGAUAAGAGAAGGAAGCGCUGGUCAAAGUCCAUGGGAGACAGGGCUGGGGGGUGGGGUGGGAG